GAUGAACGCUCGCUACAGGCUUAACACAUGCAAGUCGAGGGGAAACGACAUCGAAAGCUUGCUUUUGAUGGGCGUCGACCGGCGCACGGGUGAGUAACGCGUAUCCAACCUGCCCACCACUUGGGGAUAACCUUGCGAAAGUAAGACUAAUACCCAAUGACGUCUCUAGAAGACAUCUGAAAGAGAUUAAAGAUUUAUCGGUGAUGGAUGGGGAUGCGUCUGAUUAGCUUGUUGGCGGGGUAACGGCCCACCAAGGCGACGAUCAGUAGGGGUUCUGAGAGGAAGGUCCCCCACAUUGGAACUGAGACACGGUCCAAACUCCUACGGGAGGCAGCAGUGAGGAAUAGUGGUCAAUGGACGAGAGUCUGAACCAGCCAAGUAGCGUGCAGGAUGACGGCCCUAUGGGUUGUAAACUGCUUUUAUAAGGGAAUAAAGUGAGUCUCGGGAGACUUUUUGCAUGUACCUUAUGAAUAAGGACCGGCUAAUUCCGUG
rnacentral:rRNA from 1 species